GGAUUCCCCUAGUAACUGCGAGUGAAGCGGGAAGAGCUCAAAUUUAAAAUCUGGCGGCAGUCUUUGGCCGUCCGAGUUGUAGUCUGGAGAAGUGCUUUCUGUGCUGGACCGUGUACAAGUCUCUUGGAACAGAGCGUCAUAGAGGGUGAGAAUCCCGUCUUUGACACGGACUACCAGUGCUUUGUGAUGCGCUCUCGAAGAGUCGAGUUGUUUGGGAAUGCAGCUCAAAAUGGGUGGUAAAUUCCAUCUAAAGCUAAAUAUUGGCGAGAGACCGAUAGCGAACAAGUACCGUGAGGGAAAGAUGAAAAGCACUUUGGAAAGAGAGUUAAACAGUACGUGAAAUUGCUGAAAGGGAAACGCUUGAAGUCAGUCGCGUUGUUCGGAACUCAGCCUUGCUUUUUGCUUGGUGCACUUUCUGAAUGACGGGCCAGCAUCGAUUCUUACCGUCGGAAAAGGGUUGAGGGAAUGUGGCACCHUAGGGUGUGUUUAUAGCCUUCANUCGCACACGGCGGUUGGGAUCGAGGAACCCAGCGCGCCGCAAAGGCAGGGGUGUUUGCCCACUUUUCGCGCUUAGGAUGCUGGCGUAAUGGCUUUAAACGACCCGUCUUGAAACACGGACCAAGGAGUCUAACAUGCCUGCGAGUGUUUGGGUGGAAAACCCGAGCGCGUAAUGAAAGUGAAAG
rnacentral:rRNA from 1 species